GGUUGGACAGAGCUUGGAGCAACCUGGGCUAGUGGAAGGUGUCCCUGCCCAUGGCAGGGGAUGGAAUGAGGUCCCUUCCAACCCAAACCAUUCUGGAAUUCCGUAAGCAGAUUUCCAGGUUGUUCAGUGCCUCUGGAUCAAAAGCAACACCUUGGAUGGCCUCGAGCAUUGACCUGGGAGGUUUUGGGAGCACAGGUGUGGUGGGAUCCCCAAGGAAGCUGUGUGGGAUAAAGCAGUAGGACGAGGCAGAGGUCGGGCUGAGGGUGUUGGUGUGAUCCCAGGGAAGAAGGGGGAAUAAACAGCAGAAAAAGUUGAUGAGGCAGUAGAAAACCUAAGCACGUGUGGAUCCUGAGUAUGAAAGGGAAUGGGGACCAGCUGGCCCUGAGCAGGGGUGUCCGUGGGUCCAUGACUAGGUCAGCUUUGGAAAGCUGGUAAUUGGUUCCAGCAAUUACCAGAGCCCUGAGAGCCGCCGCUCAAACUUCGGGAGCCCUGUGACAAAUUGGAGCUGACUGCUGGUGCAGGAGUAUCGACUUCCCAUUUCCAAACAGGGGCAUCAUUAGUCAAGAAAAGCAUCUUUUAAUUACUCACAGGAAGAAAAAAAGAGAAAGGGGGGAAAGAAAGGGAACAGAUCUCUCAGUAUGGAUCGUGCAACAACCACCAGGUUUUUUUGUGAGUGUAUUCAAUAUUAAAUUUACUGUCUUGGCGGGGGGAGUGGGCAGAGUUUGCCUGCAGUCCCUCCCUCGGUAAUGCGGGUUUAAUUUGGAGUGAGAAGUCAAAUUAGAGUAAAUCAAUGUUGCGACAAUUAACCGGGGCUGGGGAUGAGAUCAGGACUCUCCUCUAAUUGCUAUUGAUACUGUUUGAGCACACUCUGCCAGCGGUGCUUUGCAGUGGGGCAGCACACGAGUGUCCCGGUGGGGCAGCGCUGCUCCGGGAACGUUGGAGAGGUGGGGAAGCCGACCUGGGGACUCUGUGCCGUGUGUGACCUGGGCCUUUUGCACUGGUGUGUCAGUCUCCUACAGGUAUUUGCCUUCCUCCUGGACACACCUCACAGGUUUUGCAUUCUCCACGUUACUGUUCCUACCCACGUGGAUUCUGUCUGCAGACUUGGUUGCCACCAUCGACUUCCUGAGAUGCUGUUGGCCUUUUCCAAAGGGGACAAGCUGCCACCAUCCCCCUGCCCACUCCAGGAGACGAUUAUCUGCUCCCUCUUCCUCUGAGCUCCCAAGGUCUCCAUCUCUGUCUCACUGGGAUGAUGUGUCACCUCCACCAGCUGGAAGCUGCUGGGCAAGCGGAGGGAAGGCCAGGGUCAUGUCCAGGCACCCUGCUUCUUGUUUUCCUACUCAAGUGAUGCCAGAUAUCUGCAUUAGCUACCCUAAAGGGCUAACCUUAAGUGCAAACCUUAAAAGGCUCCACCAUUUUGGUAUCUUUUUAAGAAUAUUCAUAAAUAGGACAAACACCCAAUUCCAUUAAAACUAUUUUUUAAGUGAUGGGUGGCAGAAGCCCAGGCGUGGUUUUAAGCUCUGCUCUUUAGCUGGAGCAUCUGCAGCAGUUGUGCUCGGGUUUGUUUGCACAGCAGUCACCCUGUUUGUUCUGGGUACCAAAGGUGGUAGGAAAAUCCAGUGCUGGCUGAGCAGUGUGGAGUUGGGAGCCAGCAGUGCCAGGAAUUGCCUUUCACCUUCCGCUGUGAGAUCCAGUUUGAUCCCUCACUCACUAAUGAACUGAAUUUAAUGGUGUCGAGAAAACAUUAUGCAGCUUGACUGUAUUUAGCUGAGUUUUACAGUCCUGCACUAAAGCCUGGCUUGCUGUUCCAAGGCUGAGCUGCUUUCUGGGGUAUAACUGAUGAAAAAUAUUAGACCGUGUCUUCUGUGAAAAAAAUUGACCCAUACCAUCAUUUUUCGCAAAAAUAAUUAAUCCUUUUUUAUAGACAGUGCAAAUAAAGGGCAAACCCUGGGAAACAGGGUACUUGGGAUCCCAGAAUCGUAUCCUGGGUCUGGUAGGGAUGCCUCAUCUCUGGCUCCUUUUGGAGCUGCUGUUAUGGUCCUGUUGGUCUUGGAUUCCUGGCAUAAGGCAGCAGCGUCACAAACGGGGCCUGGGGGAGCAUCGGGACCUCUCUGUCCGCAUUGUCAGCUCCGGUUUCUUGGCGGUUCUUGGCCUGAUGAGGUCAGUGUUUUGUGCCUUUUCAAUGCUCCUCCACGCUUGACACCUUUCCCGUUUCAGGGGUGGGGGAAGGGGGUUUUUAAAAAUAAAUUAAAAAAAAAAAAAAAAAAAAAAAAAGGAAGAUUUUAUUGUGAAGGGCUGACCAGAACCCAUCUGCAGUUGGGUGGCAUCUGCUCCCCACAUGUCACUUCCCUCAUUAACAAGCAAUUGAAUUAAUUAAAUGCUACUCAGAACACGCAUAACAAGCUACCGGCAGUGUCCAAAUUAGCACUGAUAAUCAAGGAUGAUUUCCUUUAUUAUCCUGCUAAGUGGUGUGCAGGCUCUGAUCUCCCUGUCUGCCCUCAUCUAUUUACAUACCCCCAGCUUCUGCCUUUAGAAGCCGAGGUUAUCUUACCUAGUUAAUUUGCCACGAUCACCAAGCAUGGCGGAUUGAUAUUCCUGCCUCUGCUGAAGCAAACCCCCUCCUUUCUCCCCCUUUUCCUUCCUCCCCAAGCCUGGUCCUUUGUAUCUCAAGCUCACUGAUAAAUUAAAAGCCACCCCUGUGGUCUCUCAAGUGAGUAAUAGAGGCAGAAAUUUCAUUUUGCAACUGGCUGAUUUAAUGAUCCAAAGGGUAAUUAAUGGCCUGAUUAUCUUAAUGUUAAAUAUGUCCGGCAGCAAUUACUGUGACCUCCCGCUUGUCAAGGUCCAGGCUAUGCUCUUCUUUCAAUUAAGUUCUCUGGGGCUUAAUGGUAUGAAUAAACUCCUCUGAUUCUAUCAUUCCGGACUCUGAGAUUUAAGCGAGCUGGGGGCUCGUUUGGAGUUUUAAUCAGCCCGUCUUCUACUUGAGCGAUCAGAGUUAACAAUUAUAACAAGGACAGUUUAACUUUCUUUCUUCCCCCCCUCCCCUUUCUACUUCUUUUUUUUUUUUUUUUUUUUUUUUUUUUUGAGCGCUCGGAGGGGAUUUUGUUGGCGGCAGCGGCAGCUUUGCUGGGCCAGUCUCUCCCUAUAUAAAUUAUCAUGUGAAUGCCGCUGUUUUUCCAUUUGACAGGCUUAAUUAAUUGGCAGGAGCGCCUGAAAAUGACAGUGCCACUAAUUGCAACUCCAAGUGCAUUUCUGUCAUUGCAGCACGCUUGUCACGGGCAGGGCCCGCUCCGCGCCACGCCGGGGCUGUGGGGACGGUUCCCAUUCCAGGUCUCACGUCUGGGCCGGGGACGUGAUGGGAUGUGAUGGCCCAAGAUGUGCCUGUGGGUUCUCCAGGCACGCAGUUUGUGUGCAAGACUGACAUUUACUGCCGGUAGAGUUUAGACAGCUGGGCUUCUGCCAACCCAGCAGCUGCUCGGGGACUUAAGAUUUGACUUAAAGGUUUCACUUAAGCUAUUUCAGCAAGUCCCGUGAACAACGGAGGUUUCGGGAAGGAAUUAAGAAGAAGAAUUAAAGUAAAAAUACACCAACAAAGCCCAAGAGUUGUAACUCACUCCUGAUCUUUCUGGUGGCUGAACUCCACCGAGCAGCACAGCUCCCAGUGAGCUGGAGUUCUAUUAGCUCUCUUUUGGACAGCAGAUAUUUCAUAAAGGUAAUGAGGAAAAUGUAUAAAUUAUUAGUUACGGUGGUAUUGCGUUUUCAAACACGGGCAUAAAUAAAAAGACUGAUUCAUUGCUGCCAGUAAACUCAAAGCUCCCUCCUGUACAGCUGUAAAAGUGAACCAGUUCUCACAUGCUGGGUCGUGGGCUUCCAGAUUGGAGUCACUGCAUUGCUUUGCAAUCAAAUUAAAAAGAUAAGAAUAAAAUUUGUCACUUACCAGUAGCUUCCAGGAAAUGCAUCUAAUAGGAAUGACUAAGUGAGGCAAAUGGAAUGUCAGCUGGGGUGGCUGCUGGUCAGACUUCACCCUUUGGAGGCCUGGGAAGCUCAGACGCAGCACUCCAGAGGUGCAGUUCUCUCCCAGACACCUGGCAGAGCUAGGGAGCAUCUCAGAUUUGAAGAUGAAUGUCUUUUCACUGGACUUCACAUCUGCUUGGCCAAAAGCUACUUGAAAAGGUCAACUCAGAACGUACUAAUAGAGAGAGAACCAUCACAGUGUUUAUUAGAAACUACUUGGGUCACUGUUUACCUGUGGCACUGCAACAGGAGCGUGGAAGAGCAAGAAGAUUCAUUUCCAGUGGGAAAAAAACUGGAUAUUUUAUUUGUGAAUUGGUGGGAGAUGUGGCUCACAUCAAGCUAAUGACCAAAGGCCAGUACAGCUGAAAAGGAAUCAGAUGUCAGCCACUGUGGGUUAGUCUUGCCCCAGAAAAUUCCUUGAUUUUUUUAUAAGCAUUUAGAAAGAAAACAGAAAUUAGAUCAGAGACUAAAACAGGACAUUUUGGAGAGGAGUACAUCUCUGUUAACUAGGCUUUCUUGAACCCAUUUUUUAUCAUUUACAUGCUCAAAUGUGUGCAUGCACACAUCUGCUACUCCACAGCACCUGAGGAAUAGGUAUGGAGAGUUUCAUCUUAAAUAUGGCAAGCUAAAAGCAACUGAAAAAUGAAGUUUGCUGUCUAAAGCAUUGGGCAGCCUUGCCAAGGUCCUCUUUGCCCUCACUCUCUUUCACAGUAACUAUUUUAUCAGUUAUUUCCAAAAGGAAAAGCACUGAACACUUGUGUUGCUAUUGAAAUUCAGCUGUUUGUGAGGCUGAAACUUGUAAUCAUAAAAAGACCAAAAUAAAACCAUUGAGGAAAAAAAUGCCAAAAGCAUCAGCUAUUAGGGGAUCCCCUGGGUCAGAUCCAAAGGCUCGUCUGUGAAUACUUUGGGAACUACUGUGAGUUGAGCACUUGCUGCUGCUGAGAAACUCUACAGAGCUGCUGGCAGGGGAAACAUCCAGGAGGAGAGGAAAUAUUCUGUUUUGUUAGAUAGAAAUCUUAGGCAAAAUAUUUUCUUUUCCUUUGGAGCUUUUCUGUGUAGUUGGUGUUUGACCUGUUCUUUGCAUUCCUCCAGCCCUGAGGUCACAUCUUCCUCUCUGUACAUCAGCUCUCCCCAAACAUAAAGCAGUUUGACUAAUCAUAAUUCAGAUUGCUUUCUGUGUGUGGCAUAAGUUGCUGUAAAGCCAGUUUAUUCCUGGCUUGUGCUGCUGAGCCUUUGUUAUAUAAAUUCUUUCUACCGUUUCUAUACACAUUUUCUGGUGUUAAGAGAUAUAUAAACUGCUUGUGGUUAAACAUGAGGACAGGCUGUCACUGGAUAGGCUGAGGGGGAGGGAGGUGGUCCUCACGUUACCUUUUCCCAGGUGGGGUGUUCCAGUAAGGUUGCAUUCAUGGGCAGCAGUCUUUUGGUGGUUGUCACUAGUGGCAGUGGUCAGCCUGUGCUGGUUUUGCCCCUCUCAGCCCUCGGGGGCUGUUUGAAUGGCUCAUGGGUUUGUUUCAGCUCCUGGGGAGGGAAGAGCGUGGCUAAAGCCACGGUGGGGAUGCUGAGCAGUACUUUAGGAACAGGCAGUGCUCCUGGUGGCUUUGCUGGCCAGUGACACGAGGCACAGAAGCAGCAGCAUCCCUUCGCUUUGGUCGUGGCUACAGAACCCGCAGGGCUCCCUGACAGUAACUGUGACCAACUUUCUUUUGUGCUUUUUUCCCUUUUUUCCCCCCUUUGUUUAAGACGGAGCUUUGUUUCUGGCUCUGCAGGAAGCUGGUAGCCUAUGGCAAGGGACUGGGGAGAGGAGACUUCAGUAAGAUAACUAAAUGAAAAGGGCAGCAGUGAAAAGAUGGUGCUGGCUUUUGACUGGACUGAAACUUGAGAUACACGAGCCCGAAUGCAGGUUCCCCACAGCUCUCACAUAUCCUCAGUUCCUCAGAGAUAAUGUUCUUACUGCUGCAUUUUUCCAUGUCAGGGUGCUGGGGGGUGGGGGCACUGAAAGAGUGACCAGGAGAAAUCAGACAUUCAAAUAAUUAAAUAGCAGGUUAAAAUGUGUGGAGGUGAGCACAGGUGAGGGCUGGGAGGCAGGAGUCAGAGGGAGAUGAAAUGUCUCCCUGUACCUAUUAACGAGGUCGUGCAGACAGGGCGAGUCCUGUCGCUGAAGCAUUUUUUGUGCGAGUCUGUGAGAGGUUGGGGAGCUGGAAGAACCAUCCCUUGGUAAUUGGGGAGCCUCAAAAGGUGCAGAUGGGACAGGCUUCAAAAAGCCUUCGUGCUGAACAGAUGAUUAUGUCAUGGCCUAGAAAUCUUCCAGCUAACUUUGCUUUUCCCCCCGAAGAUUUACAUUUUCCUUCUUUCAUCCGGGUCAGAAUUUCUUAAGGGAUGUUUUUACUGUAUUUUCACCAGGCAGGCUUGGGAAACCGAGGUGCACACAGAAUAAAAUCUCAGCCCCAUCAAUGCUUUUUAGAUUCCUCUGCAGGUGGAAAGAACAGGAUUGUGUCACUGUGUGCUAAAACUGAAGGAUGUCUUAUGAAAAUGAUAUCCAGAAGUUGCCUUUUUUUCCUUUCUCAUCUCAAGAAGCCAAAAUUUGCAGCCCUAAUCCUUCGCUAAUGACAUAUGUGUGUGUUCCUGUCUGAGCCCCUCCAGACCAGAUCUGCUUUGGCCACUUGUGCAGCUCCCACAGCUCAGACCAGUCGUAAAUAGAUACCUGAGAUUGCUUGGAUUCACCUGUUCCAUUCAGGCAAAGAGGAGGAAAAGAGAAAAGCAGCUACAGAAAUUAACUGGCGUUACUCGUUGGGACUCCCAGUCUAGGCGAAAAGUUAAAAUAUUAUUAUUUUAAAUCAUACUAUUAUUUAACAUAGUAUUUAAAAUAAAUAUGAUUAUUUAAAAAUAUUAUUGCAGUUGCAAUUCUGAGUGGUAGAACUGCAGUUUUGGUUUCUUUGUGAAGCCCCUGGCCUGUGGCUCAUCAGCCCCAGGAUGGGUCCAACAGAGUGAAGCUGGAACAGGGGUGUGCUGGUGCCUCCACAAAAUAUAUUUGGAGGCUGGAUAAACUCAGCAGCCAAAUGCAAAGUACCUAUUUUGUAUGUUAAAAAUCAGUCACCAACAUUUUGGGUCUUUUUUUAAGGACACAGUGUGUUUUACAGGGGGUCUUGGGGUGUGUGGAGGAGCAGACAAGGCCUAGGGUUGUGCAGGAUGUGUGAUGGGAAUGGCCCAAGUGAAAUGAAAGUGUUCAGAAGGCAACUCUUCUGAUAAAGAUUUGGGACUCCUGAAAUUAAUGUGUGUCCAAAUCUGAUGUUUUAGCUGGUGUUUGUUGUCACAUUUGCAUUUCUGGGGUGUCAGACAGCUCAUUGGAUAUCAGUGUAUGUGUUAAGAUGGGGAAUAAGAGAGAGAGGAGAACAAGAGGUGUCAUGGGGGAUGUCACAGUAAGACAAGGAAAAUACCCUCCACCCUCAGACGUGAUAUUUUAUAAGAGGAAAGUGCAUGUGACAUCCUGGGGGAGAGAGGUUUGGGUUGUAUUUUUAACAGCCAAGAGGUGACAGACCAUUUCACUGCCAUAGUGGGACAUACAGGAAACAUAUAUUUACAAGCACAGAGUUUAUCAAGCACAUUUAUCAAGAAUCUAUCAGGCAUAUGUAUAAUAUCCUUGAUAAAUUCAAGAUAAUGUGUAAAAUACACAAAAUAUGAAAUAUUUUAUAUGUGUAUUAGUCCCCUUUCACUAUUAGUUCAACAUUCAGGGAAACUGGUUUCAGUGCUUUAAAAAAAUAAGUAUUUUCUGGAACAUGCAGGUUUUAUUGAGGAGUACAUCGGAUAACAGUUUGAGAAGCAUGUAAAUAAAUCUUGGCUUAUCUGGGUGUGUGAAGGGGGUGUGUUUUGGGCCUCAGUUAAAAACCUGAGCUUUCUUUAAGCCAGAACUACAGCAGCAGUGAAAGUGAAUUACUCGCAGUAAUUCAGUGUGAUACAGGGAUGGAGGUGUGGGCAUGUUAUAGCUGUAACUUGGCAAAAUAGAAAGGGAAUUGGGGAGAAGAAUGGUAAGAAAUAUUUCAAGUCUUCACUGAGGAUCUUCAGAAGGAGAUGCUUUAGGAGCUUAAUGCAAUUAUAAUGACUGGGGGGAGAUAGAGGGGUUUUCAGGCAUUUGGAGGUGAUGUCCUUGGAAAAAUGGAUUCCUGUAGUUCAAGCAAGUGUUCCCAGGAGCAGGGGAUGGACUGGAGAGGAGCUGUUUGGACUGGUUGCUUUAAGCUGUGCAGUUCUCUCCCAGGGAAAGCAGUGAAUCCCACCACUAGGAAACAUGGGAUGUGGGGAAAGGCAAGGGAUUGAAUGAUCUCUAUGGCCCUUGCUUUCUGGAUUCACUGAAUCUCUGAUCAGGAACCUCACAGCAGCCAGCAGCUCCAGCAGAUUGUAAAGUAUUUCUUCCUGUUGAGUCCUCCACCACUGCAGAAGACUGCAGAGAUCAGCUGAAAUCAGGAUCUAAUUCCAGUGCUCUUCCCUCCCCUGUCCCCUGCUCCCCUCCUUCAUCCGCUGGAUGUCCAUUUCUGUAAGUUUUCCCUUCAGAACAAACCUAUCAUUUUUCACCACAGGAUAUUUACAGCUUCAAUCAGUGCCAAAUUCAAUUGGCUUCUGAUCUCAUCGCUGGAAGUUAUAGAUGCAGAUAUUAUUUGCACUGUGGUUAAUUAUGGAGCAAUCAAACUUUGGCUUUUCCACUGUAAUUUCCUCUGCCAGCUAAUUUAAUUAAUCACCCCCAGCUCAGCUCUUCCAGCUGCGACCGGCAGGGUCAUUAAUUAGACAUGUGGUGGUAGCUCAUAGACCAGUUCCUGUUAAGGGGCUGCUGCCCACUUGAUCUCUAAGGGAGCAAUAGCUUUUUUCCAAGCAUCCAGGCACGAUUCGAGGUAGCUGCCAGGUUACUGUGUUCCUCAGAUGUGGUUUCCAAAAGCAGACGGGGGAUUGCUGGAACUGCCAGUGCUCAGCUCACGGGUUCAGCAAGGCAGGGCUGAGAUCAGAUGCCCACCAAGAUGCAAUUUAGGGUCUGACCCAGCAGUUCUCAGUGGUCCAUCCCUUAUGGUCUGAUCGAGGAGCUAAAAAAUAAAUGCUCAGGAACGUGGUGGAGCUCCUUCUGGCUGUUGGUGGGAGCUGCCUGCUGUUUGUCACGCGGAAAAUGUUUUAAUUGCCAGAUCACAGCGAUAAGAGGAACAUAUUUUUUUUCACUACAAAAGCUGUGCAAAAUAACCAGCCAGGUCUGUCACACUGCUUGGAUCUCAGAAUAAUCAGUAAUUUCUUUUUCUUCUACGUGGAAGAACCUUUUACGGUAGACAAAGUGGGUUGAUUGCUUACAGCUUAAGAAUCUCAUCCUAAGCACUAUCAGCAGAGGACAAGUGGUUUGGGACACUUGUCCUAACAGCCCUGGAAAGUCCAAGCAUUUUGCAGGGAAGGCAAGAGAUCCUUAGUCCUUGCUCUUGCAUGGUCUCUUUCAAUAGCCUGGAAUAACGAACCCUGCCAUUGGAUUCCACUGUGCAUCUGAAAUAUAGAUUCAUAGAGUUUUUAAGGUUGGAAAAGCCCUCCAGGAUCACCGAGUUAACCCAGCACUGCCAGGUCCACCACUGAACCGUGUCCCUAAACACCCCACCUAAGCAUCAAAGCCUCCUCCAAAUCCACCAUGUUCUCACACUGCAAGUUGUAAGGAUCCUUCAUUUUAUUACCAGGAUCUUCUUUAUCCUCCUUGGAGUGCCAGCAAAGCCACUGGUGUUCCCAUCACACCACAUGGUGGAUCUUGGAGGAGGUAAGCUAGAAAAGGUGAAGAUCAUCAGGAUCCUUGUAGCUUUUGGGCAGCUUUUUCAACUACACAGCUGGUUUUACUGCCCUUUGAUUUCAAACCUGUUGCAAAGCUGUCAUUUCUAAUCAGUGCCUCCUCUGCCAGCCAUGAAUUGCUGAUGGAUUGCUUGGAGUCUCCCCCACUUCUUUCCAGAAUAGACAAACUCUGCUCAAGACAACUGUUUUAAUCAUCUUGGCUCACAAAGCCUCCUUUCAGCCUCUUCUGUCCAAAACAUCCAUCAACCCUGCCCAGCAAUAGUAAACUGAAAAUAAAAAAAUCAGUUCUCUUCACAGCUUAACUGUAACUGGCUUUUUUAAUAGCAAAACAGUUCUGUGGGCUCAGAGCAACUCCCUUUUCUGAAGGAGAAGGUGCUUCUGAUGCAACCCUCCCUUCAAGUGCAUCAUUUUUCUUCCUCGUAUGUCUCAGAAGGUUCCCUUAGUCUGAACUGUUUGGGGAAGAUGCUUUCAAUACAAAGUCCCUCCGCAGUCAGGGAGGGCUUUGGGGAUUUUCACAAGAGACGCAGCUCAGCAGCUGUUUCAGAGUGGAGGGGUCACAUCUGCUCCUGCCAUCACAGGGAGAUUGUUGACGUGUUAUUGCCACCGAAGCCCUGAAUCAGAGGGAUUUGUAAUUGGUAAGAAGACAGGUUGUCACUUCAGAGGAGCUCUGCACCUUGCCUGGCAGCAAAAGGUAGACCUCGUACUAGACAUCAGUGCUGCCUUCAGCAGGCAGCAGCCACAUCCCCGUGCUGGGGCUGCUCCUGUGGGAAACCUGCUCAGCUUGAAGUCUCUUAGCUGGGAAUGCUGCUGCUGGAAGGGAAUGGGGCCCACGGAGUGGGUAUAUAUAGAAAGAGCAUAUAUACUCUAUAUAGAGAGAGAGAGAAUCGUAGAAUCAUUAAGAUUGGGAAAGACCUCCAAGGUCAAGUCCAACAUUACAUGGAACAUAUAUAUUCUAGCUUUAUGGGAUACAUGUAUAUGUAUAUAUAUAUAUAUACAUAUAUUAAAAAAAUAGCUUUAUCUUAAAAGGGUACUUCUAAAUAAUUUGCCACCCAAAACUAGAACAACUGCCAGCAUUAACUAGCAGAUAAUCUGCCAUGAAGACCUGAAUCUGGAACCAUCCCCAUUCCUCACUGAAGAAAGGCAGCAUCCAAAAUUCCUAAAAUAGCCAGCAGUGUUCUGUGGGCAAGCUGGAAAAUUAGUUUUUGCCCUGCAAAAAUUGGAAUUGCACUUGGUCCUGAUCAGCAGAUUUCAAUCACCCAGCACUGCUUCACCUACUUGUGUCACUUGGUUUUGUUUUAUUUGAGCAAUAAAUACCUUAAAUCUUCUCAGAGCUAUUUCAUGUCUUCUGUGGAGACUCAUGAUAGUCCUGCCAGGCAUUCAUCAAGGUUCCCAAUGAACCACCACAUGAACUAUUCCUCUGCUUCUUAUCAAUCAAAGCAGUUUACUUAGAACUUUACUUUUUCCUCCUGAAGUAAUCAAAAUCUGAUAUUCCACAGAUUGCAGGAAAUUGUCACUGCUGUAUUCUGUGCUAAUCCAUCACGUCAAACAGGCAUAAUUUGGGCAUUAGAAGAGCAUUAAAUGUUUAAAUAAGCAAGAGAGUCCAUUAACCGCUCCAGAUGACAGGGCAGACAUGUUUGGAUCACAGGUACGCUGGGAAUCGCGGCACAGACCUUACAGAGCAAUGGGGCAUCCCCAGUGUGCAGCAGGCUCCAGGCUUUCUUGUUCUUCGGGAUAUCCCUCAAAUACUCAAAAGAAAUGCUUAGGCCAGCAGGAGGAAAUGAAAGUUUUAAGCUUAAACUUCAUUUAAGGUCUUUGUGGAAGAUAGUCCAGGAGAUGGUUAAAGUAUCCAUCCCUUUCUUGUAGCCCUGUUUUCCUCUGUUCAAGCUGCCAAGAGCUUUCGGGAGUAGUUUGUCUGUUAAUGCUGAGAGAGCAGGAAAAGGCCAUUUUUGUGCCGGGGAGUUGAGAAAAACAUACUCCUUUGCCAUCUUCAGUUUUUGAAUUAACUGCUGUGAUAGUAAAUGUGGUGGGCAGGUGUGGUGAGACCUGCGUGGUGUUGGAUGUGUGUGUGAGAUGUUUCACGAGGCUCUGAGCAACCUGGUCUAGUGGAAGGUGCACCUGCCCAUGGCAGGGGGUUGGAAUGAGAUGGUCUUAAAGGUCCCUUCCUACCCAAAUCAUUCUGUUGUUCCUGAAAAGUGCUGGGGAACCGGAGUCCACCUUAAACUACGAAAAGUGAUGAGGGAGGAGACUUCUCACAGUCACAUCCCAGCCAGAGGUGGCUGCUCUGUUUAUGAAACACCAGUUCCAGUGGACUGGGGAGAAAAUUCUCCACAGAGAGGCAGUGGAUGUGGGAUUUCUUUAUUCUAUAGCAAGGAGCCAAUCCAAAAGUCUCCUUGUUGGGGGAAUUGUGUUCUUCUGGCAGGUAUUUUGCUCCCCUUGUGACUGGACAAAGCAUCAGCAAAGUAGAUGUUGAGUCGCUCUGGAUCGCAGAUGUGGUUUGUGUGCUCACAGCCCCCAGUUCUGUCCUCUCCUCUUUGAGUCAAGUUGUGUUUUAAACCAAUUUCCCCUUCUAGUGGUAAUUCUUUGUGCACCAUUUCCCUUUGCUUGGCAUCGUAAAGCCACCUCUGGUUUUCAAGGGAACAAACACUCCUGUGAUCAAGGGAGUUGGGGGUGUCCUGCACCAAUCCAGGGGCACGUCUGCCCUGCCAAAUAACAAAAGACCCAUUGUAAUUAGAGUGUGAGCCUUCCUUUUAAAGGGUGACUGGCGAGGGGAAAUUACCAAGACUGGAGACAGUAAUUAGCAGCCUCUGCAAACAGCAGAUCAAGCUGUCCAUACCAAUAUCCCAGAGGAAGGUGCCCCAGGAGCAGGGAGAGGGGCUGGAUUCGAGCCCUCUGAGCUGCGGAAGGUGCUGAUUGUGGUUGUGGGCUUUUCUGCUGUUAGAAGCUCUCCUGCUGUAAACACAGCCCAACCAGCCUCGUCUCAGAAGGAUCCUUAAAACCUUCCUUUUCUCCCCUUCCACCGCUUCAGAAACACAGCGGCUGACAGUCCCAAUGUUUGAAAUAAUUGGAUUCUGCAUUCUAAUUCAUCUGUAAAGUAUUCGUUGAUUAAAUUAGCCUAAUAGAUAUUAUUUCUUACAUGACUGCAUAAUUUCAUCCUGAUUGGAUCACUAUGGCACUAACGAGUCCCCCCAUUUACCAUUGACUCCAGAAUCACAGAAGGCUGCAGAUAACUAUCAUCUUGUUUCCAUUUUUUUUCCUUUCCCAGGCUAAAAGUUAAACUGAUUUAUACUAAAAAAGCACACAGCCAAUGCUCAGGUACAUCUGUAUUUUAGUCUUCGAGACCAGUGUUAGAAUGGAAAAAAAUAUUGGUUUAUAUAAUCUCGGGCCCUCUUUUGUUUACUCAGUAGUUUGUUCAGAAGCAGAAAGAUUAACUGACCAUUUAAAUUCCUUUGGGAGGGGCAAUGGAGAUAUUUUUAAGUAAAAUACAUUUUAUUAUCUCAUCAAAACAGAUAGGCACAUUGCAAAUGAACCUCGUAAGGACUCGCACACAUUCAGAGAAAUGAAAAUACUCAGGGUAAUGUUUCAACGGAAGUGCUUUUAGCCUCUAUUAGUAAGAUUCUUUGAGCUGCAAUUUGAGUGUAACCAAGAGAAAGCAAGAAGAAAACAAAAUUGUGGUUGGUUUCAUGCUGAAUGAGAGCAGAUAUUUUUUUCCUAAGGAAGAAGGAGCUCCCCUGGAGUCCCGCUCCCCUGGCGCAGGGGUGACGGGCUCACGCUGCUCCAGCUCUCUGUGUGCCGUGGGGCUUUGUUGGGAAGGGGUUAACAGCACGAUUGGCUUCUUCCCCUGCCCCAGUGGCUGGAAACAGCUGGUGGGUUUUGUGUUGCGCCGCUGAACUGAGCAGUCCAAAGAAGUUUUUGGCAAACACUCGGCCUGCCCAGGACAAGAAGAGGUGGGUCAAGCCAGGAAACCGUUUUCAUGAGCAAACGGGGGAAACAAUGCCCCGCUCAGCAGGGACAGAAGGGAGACCCGCUCCCGCUGAAUACCUCCCCAAAAAAACCUGGCUCAAAAGGAGGAAGGCCCACUCGCUUCUGGGAAUCCAAUAAAUUGUUUCAGGAAGUGAAAGUCUGUCCAGGCUAAUGGAGCCGUGAUUGACAGGUGGUUCUCAUUACGGAGCCCAUCAGGGGACAAAGUGAAUUCCAAUGUUAUUUAAGAGGUUAAGUAGAAAUAAGAUGCAGGUGACAGCCCAGGGCUUGAGGCAUUGCACUGCUCUUCCUAUGUUGUGGGUUUUUGUGAAGAGCCUCCACAAAAUUUAAAAUGAGCGAGGGCAGGGGCAGUUUGGGAAGCAAAAUUUGGUCCUGCUGUGACUUUAGAGGAACUUACCUGGCUGGGGAGCAGGAAGGUGAAGGUUGCUUUGGGAAUUCCUGCAUUAGAGAGUUCCUGUUCUUUAAGUUCUUGUAAUGUGGGUGUUUUGUCUGUGCUCAGUGAGGUGAACUUCCAGCAUGGACUGCCAUAUCCCAAAUGCCGUAGGACAUCCCAGCACAGGAGCAGGAGAACAAAGCACUGUGAAAGUUUACAGUUGUUUGUUCUUCCUGGCACAAGCUCAGAAGAUUCCAGAGCCCCCACAAGCACAUCCCAUAGUGCUCUGAGCCAAAAAAACCUCAGCCAUUGGACGUUUUUCUUCUCCCGUGCUUGUGCUGUGGCAGCUGACAAGCAAAUCACAAAGUGUUGACCUUAAUUAGAAUGAAUUUGAAGUGAUUUGGAAGUGAAAUAUGUGGAGGCCACCUGGGGUUGGGUCAGGUUGCGUUGGUCACGGCCCCAAGGCUGCCAGAGCUCAAGUAGCGUUUGGACAAUGCUCUCAAGGACUUGGUGGGAUUAUUGGGGUGUCUGUGCAAGGCCAGGAGUUGGACUCAGUGAUCCUUGGGGAUCCCUUCCAACUGUGGAUAUUCCAUGAUUCUGUGACAGGUUUCUGGAUGCGCUUCUCCAAGGUCUGAACCUGGCUUGACAAGGAAAGGAAAAUGCAUUCCUAGUCACUCGGGUUCCCAGGUGUUCCUGAGGCAUCUUUGUGCUGCCAUAGGUUAUAAAGCUGAAACUAAAGGCUGUUUCUGGCCUUGUUCAGCAAGAAAGGAAGGCCAAGAAGAACAUCCAAAAUACAAUUAUUGCUUGCAUAGACUAUGAGCACCAAGGUGCAGUUUUAGCUGUGGCCAGAGGUUUGAAAGUAGAUCUGUACAUAUGCUGAAGAUGCUAAACCCAGACAGACUGUUUAUUUCUGCAUUUUUCCUUUUUCUGAAUGCCCAGACAAGCAGCAUCGGGUGUCUUAGCACUUGUGGAUGUGGUGGGGUGGGAAGCUGAGGGAUCUGCUCUGAUUCCUGGUAUUGACAGGAUCUUCCAUGGUGCGUGGUCAGGUACAAGGAUGUAAUUUCACCGAGGGGUUGUGAGUGACGGUGAAACUCCCAGGUAUGACGUGUGUAAUAAAUCUGGCUGGAUGCAGAAUUAAUGUGAUAUUCACAAUGAUUAUUUACCAUUGGAGGCUCAGACGUGGCUGUGUACGAGAAGCAAAUAGCUCUGCACAAGGAAGGGCGCCCAGAGGAGAGAAGGAAAAUACCUGCUUGCAUUGUUUCACAAGUGCAUUCCCAGGUAAUACUAAUGAAAAUUGCACUUUAAAUGCAGGAUUGAUUUGUGAUGAGAUCAGCCCUAAAGAGUACAUUUGUGGAAUGAUAACCUGAUUGGUGGCGCUGCCUCUUGAAGGGCUGAAGGGGUCUAAUUGGCAUAUAACGCACUAUAAAUUUAUUAGCAGCCUCUGCUUCCCCAUUGGUGGACCUUCCCCUGCUAACCACCAGGAAAUUACCAAUUUUCAGGAGUUAGUCACUCAAGUCGCGCCAUGUCUGGCUUUUGAAAAGAAGUCUCUGUCAUAAAUCCUGGCUCGGGGAAUGGGUCACUCGUGGAGUGGGCGCCAGAGCACCCUGUGUUUGCUGCUCCACUUGUGCCUCCCUGGCUUGUCCCCGUGUCCCACCUCCUUGCCACAAACCCAAGUUACACAAAGACCAUUAGGAGGGAACUAAUCAGUUUGGCAGCCCUUGGGCUGCAGCUGCCACAGACCAGAAAUCACAGUUUUUUCAGUUCACGUUCAGGGCUCUGAUGGUUCUUAUGGAUAUAUUCAGCCCCGGGGCAUCUCGGGCAGAAGAGGACAUACCCACUGUUCAUUUUUUUUCAGGAGCACAAUAGGAAUAUUCAGGAGCCGAUGUAAUUAUUUCAGUGACUUUGCUUUUAAGAUUGAGUCACAAAUUAGAAAAUAAUAUUCACAUGUUUCUUCUAAUUGGUAACAGAUUAGGGAUAUUUUAUCUUUUUUAAAUAAUUUCCAAAUGUGGCCCAAAGAGGGAUUUGCAGGGAAGUAGCUGGGAGAGAGAAGGCACUUACACACCAACAGCACUUGGGCAAGAGGCUUUAAUUUUUUAAUUCUGGCUUUAACUGAGCUUUGAGAUCCCUGCACACCUCUCUUUGAGUUGCUGUCGAAGUGGAACUUGCUGUCACUUUUGGCAGGUGGCUCCAGUGCGGAUUUUCUUUGCUGUCAGGUUUUAUGCGGGUUUCCCACUGCUAAGCACCAACCUUAUGGCUUGUAAAUCAUAAAGGCCUAAAGGUUUGCAAGUGAUUAAUAGGCAGAGGUGUGCAAUUAGAAAUGCCUCAGCAGGACCUGAGCACUCCAAUAUCUGCUGAAAGCCAAGUCCAUCUCUAAUCCCACUUUUCGGGGCAUAUUUGGGCAACCCCAUCAUUGCACGUCCCGUUAUUGAAAAUACACAAACAAACAAAAAAAAGUCUUGGUAUCUCAUUUUUUAGGUACAGGGGAACCUCAUGGAUUUCUGUGGGUGUUCACUGCUGAGUAUUUCUAAAGUCUUUCUUAGUUACUCAAGUCAAUUUUUCAUUCACUUUGCUUUUUCAGAAACAUGAGUGGCUCUACCAACAACCUUUUUUAAACUAAUUAUCGUUUGUGGCUGGAGAAAGGCAUCAAACACCUGAAGCCCAGUAGAACUGAGGUGGAGGGGAGUCCCAUCACUUGCUGAACAGAGGGAAUACCUCACAUCCAACUUGCCAUGAAAGGCAUCACUUUUACUAAAUAAAAAUAGCCAUUAGUAAGUACGACUCUCAGAAGAGUCUGAUGACAUGAACAAUUUCUGUAGAGCCCUUGUCAUCAGUGAAAUGUAAGAGACAGCCAGAGCAGCUGAAGGAGUAAUCAACAGAGGUGGUGUAGUGGAACAGGCGUGUCAGCCAAGAAGGGAGGAUGUGUCGGAGAGGAAGAGGAGGGUAUGGGAUGUAUAUCCCAGGCAAUGAGCAAUAGCACAAGGGAAAAUGGCCCCAGGUGGUGCCAGGGGAGGUUAAGGUUGGAUAUUACAAAAAAAUUCUUUCCUGAAAGGGUGGUCAGGCCUUGGCAGGGGCUGCCCAGGGAGAUGUUGGUGUCACCAUCCCUGGAGGUGUUUGGGAAAGGACUGGAAGUGGCACUCAGUGCCAUAGUUUAGUGGGCAUGGUAGUAUUUGUUUGAAGACUGGACUUGAUGAUCUUGGAAGUCUUUUCCAGCCUUAGCAAUUCUGUGAUUCUGGAAUUGAAGGUGAGCAGAGAAGAAGGGAGGGUUCCAAGUCAUCUGGGAAGAGUUGGACAGUGGAGAGGUCCCUGUAGCAUCAACGUAUGUCCCAGAAAUGCUGCCCAUGGUCCCCUGCCCUCAAACCUCCCACUGCAAACACUGCUGCCUCCCACUGCUGUCUUGUGCAGAGCAGGCAGUUGUUUUUAUUUCCUUGCUGCUCCAAAUGUGUUUUUCUUCACAGUCUAUGCUCUAAUACAAUGUUUAUUACUUGUAUUUUCUCUUUUAUGUCUUACAUAAAUUCAGUGUAAUGUUAGAGAGUGGUUUUACCCCAAAUACUCCAAAGAGUGUCAUCUUAUUGCUUCUGCUGGAAUUAAGGUAAUAUUAAAGCCCCCUGAAAGGGCUUUUGUUUUUCCUUGUAAACCAAACUGUAGGAGUUAUUGGUAGCAAAGGAUCAAAAUUAUCAAGUAAAUUUUGGGAGGUCUUUGUGCAGUGUUGUGAUUAGCCCCUCCUCUUCCAGUUUUUGAUUCUUGGGUGAAGAUUGGCUUCUCCUGGAGCCCACAACACAUUUUUUUCCAUUUUCAGUUGAACUUGAUGAUCUUAGAGGUCGUUUCCAACCUUAAUGAUUCUAUGACUGAAGCCACCUUUGUGUGCUAAGCAAGCCCUCAUCUGAGCUCUCUUUAGCCUGCUCUGCAGGUUUGUCACCCUUUGGGCAGCCCUUGGAGGGGUUUCCCCCCCUCAGUGUUUAGAAGGCACUGGUGCACUCCUAGUUCUGCCCCUUCUCCACUUUCCAGCAGGAUUUGCAGAGGAGAAGCUCCAUUUCUCCUCUCUGCUCUGUUUGUGCUGGGAUCUGUUCCAAGGCAGAUCACAUCAGCUGUGUCACAGUGUCCUUAAUGUGCCGUGAUGGUCAGGGCACAGGAGGAGCUGUGGGGCUGAGGGACAUCCUUGUUUCCUGCCACCUCCCUCCACCCCCCACCUGGCACAGAUUGUUGAGAUUUAUGCACUGGAAUGUUUGGAUACUGUACAAGAGGAUUUUCAUAUUUUUUCCUUUAAAAAAAAAAAAAAGGAAAAAAGUAUGUAAUGAUUUCUUGAGCUCUGUUUAAAGUGCUACUGCAUUAAGCAUAGCCUUCCUAUAGGAGAAAAUUAGUGUUAACAAAUUGCAAAUUAAUGGAAUCUUCUAACCUGAGUGACUGUGUAUCAAAUUGCAAAUUGAAAUUUCCAGUCUGUGUUUAGGUACUGGCACAAUGCAAUUUGAUUUAUACACUUAAGACAUCAGGUUAAGUCUGGUUACACAUGAAUAAUGAAAUACAUUAGGUGCAUAUUUCCAAUUACUAUUCCCUGCAUAUAUAUAUUUAUUACUAAAACAAGCAAGAAGCAAAUAUACUCCUUGGUUUUAGCAUUUCUAUGCAACUGUUGUAGAGCAGCUUUUGGCUUCUUUUAGGUAACACUGGUGGUGUGCCCAAGUGUGACCACCCAAGAAAUGGAAGCAGCCCACUCAUGUCUAGACCCACAGUGAUAACUCACUUAUUAGCCUUUUUGUUGAUUUUUUUUUUGGUGGGUUACAUUUUACAUGGCUGGCAUGUUGUACCUGCAUGCCAGAGGAAUCAGAUCAUGAACUCAGCAGUUUUCCUGUUGGUCAGCAGAGGGUGGGUGUGAGGGAGCUGUUGUUCAUGGCAGUUGUAUUGCAGGUUCUCACGAGGUCUCCCUUGCACACCUCAGCAGAAAUGCAGCUUCCCCCACUCUUCACGUUGCUUUUUUAAUUAUUUUCUCCAAGCUGCACGUUUAAAAUCGUAGAAUCCCAGAAUGGUUUAGGCUGGGAGGGACCUUAAAGCUCAUCCAGUCCCACUGCCUGCCAUGGGCAGGGACACCUUGCGCUAUCCCAGGUUGCUCCAAGCUCUGUCCAACCUGGCCUUGGACACUUCCAGGGAUGGGGCAGCCACAGCUUCUCUGGGCAACCUGUGCCAGGGCCUCCCCACCCUCACAGCCAAGAAUUCCUUCCCAGUAUCCCUUCUGGCAGUGGGAAGCCAUUCCCCCUUUUCCUGUCCCUCCAGGCCCUUGCAAAAAGUCUUUCUCCAUCUUUGUUGUCAGCUCCCUUCAGGCACUGGAAGGCCACAGGUAGGUCACCGCUGGGCCUUCUCUUUUCCAGGCUGAACAAUCCCAGUUCUCCCAGCCUUUCCUCAUAGGAGAGGUGCUCCAGCCCUCUGAUCAUCUUCGUGGCCUCCUCUGGGCAAUGGGGAGCUCUAAAACCUUAGGGUUCACCAUUGUUUGGGGUUUUCCCUCUGAAAUACUGCUGGCAAUGCUGUUUAAAAAAUUUGGGGCAUAUAGGGUUAGUGGGAAAGUACAAUUUGUGGCAUUCUUCAAGCUUUUUAUCUCUGGGGACUGUUUUCAUUUCACAUAUUCACACAGACCAAAAAGCUUGGAUUUGUAUUGAGAAAAGACUUAAGCAGCUUACAGGGCUUGCAGUUGUCACCUUUAGGAUCUUUAUUCUCAGCUUAAUAAGCCUUUUCUUAGUACCCACAGUAUCCCCCACCAUUAUGUGUCACAUAGUUUUUGCUUAACUUCAUACGGAAUAAACCUCGGGUGUGAUAUAUUUUAUCGAGGGUACCUUAAAAAUUAUUAGAUGGAGUGUUACGCAAUGAAAACAUAAGUUGACUGCAAUUUUCUGUGAUAUAUCAGAGCCCACAGUUGCAGGAUAUUUAUCUAGAAAGCCUGGAAUCAGUAAACCUUGAUGUCUUGGCCAGGCUGGCCAUUAAUGUUGGGCAGUAAUAAAUCCUGCGGGUGUAUUAACACUUGAAGGAGAGGUGCUGGUUACUCUGUGGCAUCACUGGAGGGGUAACAUAGACGUGCAGAAAAAGCAGCUGCUUUGGAGCUGUUUUGGAGGGGAUCCUGUCAGGAGAGAGGGAGAAAGGUGGAGAAGCUCCACUGAAUCUGAAUUACGACGAUACUGGUGAGUGUCAGGCAAGGUGUGAUUAAUUUGAGAAGCACAUUCAGCUCUGCACGUGUGAGUGAUCUCUGUGCCUCAUGCACAGUAGGGUUUUAUUUCCCUUAAACACACAGCUACAAAAGGAAAACUGGAAAAUGGAAUAGUAGAGCUAAUGGUGGAGAAGGUCCUGGGCUGUGGGCUCCAGAAAACAGGUCCCUGACAGUGCAAGGUGCUGCUGGUGGGAAACCACCUUUAUUUCACAGAAUCACAGAACGGUUUGGGUUGGAAGGGACCUUAAAGCCCAUCCAGUCCCACCCCCUGCCAUGGACAGGGACACCUCCCACUAGACCCGGUUGCUCCAAGCCCCGUCCAACCUGGCCUUGAACACUUGUAGGGAUUUGUGCCUUUUGGUGCUGGUGUUUUGGUUUGGUUUGGUUUGGUUGAAUAGGACUGACAGUAGGAGAAGUAACCUGAAUUUGCCAUGUUUAUGCAGCAUUGAAUUGGCUUUCUCUGUCUCUUGGACAAAAGUCUGCAGGUUGAAGGGUGGGUUGAACACAGUCCACAGCCAGACAAAUUCCCCAUCAGACAGUAAUGAAAUCAUUUCCAAGCUGGGUUACUGCACUGCUCACUGGAGGCAGCCCUGGAGCAGAGUCCAAGGCAAGACACGGGUUGGCUGAUCUGUGGCUUUCCUGUGGGGCUGGUCUUCGUCCGUCAGGGAUGUUUAACUUGUAAGAAGUAAUAAGCUUAAUAGGUUAACUUUAUUUAAUUAUUAAUGAUCCCUUUCUGUCCUUACAGCUCAUAAAACACCCUGUAGGUUGGCAAAACACUCAUAGUAUUGAUCAGGAGCCAGAGAGAUAUUUAUUCCCUCUUUGCCCCAGCGUGCAUAAAUCGUGGGCCUUUCCCCGGGCGGGCGGGAUUUACAGUGGUCUGUUUCUGAAGAGCUUUUCCAUAAUUAAGGAAUAAAUACCCUUUCGGUCUUUGUUUGCUGUCUGGAGCCCUCUUGUUUGCCAGGGACCUGCAUAUCCCUGGUGGGCUUGUGCACUCUCCCCCUUAGCAACGCGGCCAGGCAGAGAAGGCAUGCGGGCUCGAACCACUCAGCUGCUAAGCACUGGCUGUGCAAUACACCGGGGUCUUCUCCUGCAGAGAGAGGAAGCCCCUGUGUUUUCUCAGCAUAUUGUUCCCAGCUCCUCUUCCAUGCCUCUCCUCCCAGUUCCUGCUUUGCUCGGGGCAGGAAGACACUUUGGAAAUUCCUUGCUGCUAGCCCUUUCUUCUCGCCCUCGCUUCUUCUCCCCCCUUCGCUGUUGCAAUUAAAAACAUCGGGAACCCUUCCCAACAUUUCAAUCCCGUCCCUCCCUCCCCGAUGUUUUUCUUUUACCCAUCCCAACAUUGCAUCCCUGUCAGGAUCAUCACAAAGGGGGCUGUUUAAUGGGAAGCCCCGGCACAACCAGCUGCCCAGCACUGGCCAUUAGGUGACGGCUUCCUGCAAGCUGGACCAUGAAGCUAAUGACACAUUCUGGGGCUCUUCCAGGAGUUUGGGAGGUACAGGGGGUUAGAUUUACUUCAUUUUCUUGGAAGAGACACAUUAACCUUGUCAGCUGGCCAACAGGAGAGAAUAUUUGGCAGUGCUGUUGCUGAGCUGGCCAGGUUACUACGGCGUUGAACGGUUGUACUUCAGUGAGCAACCAGAAAUGGCAACACACGGGCACAGCACCUGCACAGCCACACUGGAGAGAACAUUUAGAGGCCUCCUCUGUUACAGAAUUAGUUUCUUUAGGAAGUGAGAAGAAAAAGUAAAAAAUCUCAAGAACUUUUUGCUGUUGUCAGAGGUGUGGAGGAUAAAACUUCACCUCAAAAUGCCUGCACCAAGCCUACACAGUAUUUCAGGUGGUGGGAAAUCAGUGCUCUUCCAUGAUAAAUACCUGCUGUCCGUUGUCUUUUUGAUUCAAUCUUCAAAAAUCAAUCCAGCUUUUUAACAAACAAUGGGUAAUUCUGGGUACUGAGUGAGUGACACAACAUUUUUGUCAUCCUUGGUACUGCUCUGGCAAGAACAAGGCUGCUCUUGUGCUGGAGCUGUGGAAUUUUGAUGGCAAGUUCUCAGGGUCCCCAUCCACAUGAUGUCCAUCCACACAGUCAAUUCUGGGUCACUGUAAGAACAUGACUUUUUUUUCCACCCUCCAAAUCCUUUUGGUGCUUGCCUUUCAUGCCUCCCCACCAAACAUGUGUGAGGGACCAUGGAAGUGAAGGCAGAGAUGAACAGGAGCAAGGAGGAGUAAGGAUGGAGGGUGGAUACCAGCAGCAUGAGGCUCCUGGUUGGAUAUGUUGGGUGUAAAACUCAGUGUGCUCUGUGGGGCUGAGGUUUGUAGGACAUGGGCUCCUCAGGGAGCAACUCCAGUGCAAACCACAAGUGGGGAAUGCGGUGCAGCUCCUGGAGCGAAGCUGUGCUGGAAGCAAAUCUGCUUUUUCUAUCCUCUGAUGCUCCCUAGUUAGCCCUCCCCCCUCCCAGGGCCUGGUAUUUAUGUUUCCUGAUAAUAAUGAUGUGGUGUGGCUGGCAGAGUAAUUUAAAUAAUUGGACAUUAUCUUGAGAAGCAAGCACCUAAUUAGAUCAAAAUAAACUGAGAACUGAAAUUUUCAUCUGUUUCUAAUAACCCUUUACCUAUGUACAGUAUUGCUGCCACAACAGAGAUUUCAUUAUUCACACCACUGUGUGUACUUGGAGCUCACUGGUGAUGGAGACUCCUGGAAGAGCAGAGAGCUUGGAGGGCUUUGGCCAAGGCUCAGUGACUCAUUCUGGUUCCCCAGAGUAUUUUGCCCCUUGUAUUUGCCCCUUGUGUAACCAGUGAGGUUUGGAGUUUGUAGCAGCAAGCUGGGUUAGAACACAGAACUUUAGAGAUAAAAGGCUCAAAGGAAGUCUUGGAACUCUGUUCUUAAUUUCUCUAAGUUUAUCUAGGAGGUUAUAAUCUAUUCAUUUUAAUACAAAUGAGGAAGAGGCAGUUCAGAUGUUCUCCAGCAUUUGGUAAAUCCUUGGGACCAUCUGAGUGCAUGGAGGUGUUGCCUCUCCAGCACACCAGCUCUUAAUUUGGUCCUGAGAAAACUCCACUGUUGAAAGUUCACUCUAAGAGUCUUGUUUUGGCUUUGACAACUACAGCUGAAAAUCUCUGGUACUGAGGGGGUGGUUUGGAGUUGCCAGGAUUACAGCUAAGGGAAGAAAACAAGGGAAAUGUUUACUAGCCUUUAUUUUUAGGGAUUGGUUUGGUGUCUUUCUCCUGAUGAGUUGCUCUUCCUCACACUUCCUUGUACUCUUAUUCAGUUGAUUUAUUUAAAGGUAUGUCAGUGCUGGCUGAAAUGAAACACUGUGCCUCCUCUUCCUGCUUAUUGCUGACCGCUCCAAUAAUUCAUUUUUUAGCUCAUUAACUAAGAGGGGAUGUGAGCAGUGGUCCUCCAGGGAGCUGCAAUGAGGUUAAGUGAUCUACUGCUGACAACUCUGCUCUUGGACUGGCCUUCCUUGGGGGAAAUGAAACCUCGACCAAGACAAGCUGUGGAUCCCAGAAGUGAAAUUGGGGCAUCAGAGCAACAAUUACAGUAUUUAUGUCUUGUUGUCAGGAUUUGGGAGAUGAAUGCCAGCGGCAGAGCUGCAGCUGUCUCCCGGGAAAGUCCCCAGGACUUCCCAUCCAAAUUAAAUGGUGUGUGCCAGAGAUGGAGGGAGGAUGUUUGUGGGCCUUGGCUUUCUAGAUGCUCAUUGGAAAACAGCCCCUCUAUGUUUCGGCUCUCCGUGAGGCCUGGGUGAGUGUGCUUCUCCUGCUACCUCUGAUAAGGUUUAGUUUUCUACCCUAAAAUCCAAAUGCUGUGUCUUUCUUGUGCCCAGUUUGUGCUGUUGAAUAAGAUCUCACUCAGUAGCUGAUGUCAGUGACGUGCUGCCCCAAAUGCCUGAGGCUUUAGAAUCACCUUUAUUUUGAUUUGUGGUGUUUGCUGUGUUCCCACCACAACCCUUGAUGUGACUCCAAAGGUGGAAUUGGGCUUUAACAAAUGGAGCCUUUUGGUGCCCUGCGUGGUGAAGAAAAAUCAGGCAGGUUUUCUGAAAAGGGAAACUGGAGUGAGGUGAAAUAACCACGUGCAAAGGUUGGAUUUUUAGGUGAAUGUAGCCCCGUGUCACAGCCUGCUGCUGGUGGCAGGGCCCUGCGCUGGCCUCAGCAUCUCCUGAGGGAUUCCAUGUCUCCUUGGCUGUUCCCAGGCUCUGCACCACACUUACUCUGGUUAAGGGAUGCAUCCUGACCAGAGCACACAGUUAAUGCAGAGCAGUUAUGGGUGACUUGAUCAUGCUGGGGAGUGCCUUAAGGAGGGACCAGUUGCAUCGUCUCCAUCCCUAAUGCUGGUGCCAUUAUUUUCCCCUUCCUGUUCCAUUUAUUUUUAAAGGGUUUUCUCUCCUUCCCCCAGCCUUUUGAGACAGUAGGAUAAACCUGAGCAGGGCUGGAGCAUCUUCAUCCCUCUUUCUUGAAGCCUCCCAAGGGCAUCAGGAUUGCCCGUGCGACACACGGCAAAUGAGAAAUUCGUGCCAGUGAAUUUGUAAACCAGCAGCCCAAAGCUUGGAAAGCUUCUGCCUGAACUAAGCUUUUAUUCUUUGUAUUUUAGUGCAUAUCACAGCGUCACUGUUACACUUUGAGGUGAAUUGUGAUUGGAAGUGGGAGACUUGUGUCAAACA